rnacentral:rRNA from 1 species
CCUGGCUCAGAAUCAACGCUGGCGGCGUGCCUAACACAUGCAAGUCGAACAAGAAAGGGACUUCGGUCCUGAGUACAGUGGCGCACGGGUGAGUAACACGUGACUAACCUACCCUCGAGUGGGGAAUAACUUCGGGAAACCGAGGCUAAUACCGCAUAAUACCCACGGGUCAAAGGAGCAAUUCGCUUGAGGAGGGGGUCGCGGCCGAUUAGCUAGUUGGCGGGGUAAUGGCCCACCAAGGCAGUGAUCGGUAUCCGGCCUGAGAGGGCGCACGGACACACUGGAACUGAAACACGGUCCAGACUCCUACGGGAGGCAGCAGUGGGGAAUUUUGCGCAAUGGGGGAAACCCUGACGCAGCAACGCCGCGUGGAGGAUGAAGUCUCUUGGGACGUAAACUCCUUUCGAUCGGAACGAUUAUGACGGUACCGGAAGAAGAAGCCCCGGCUAACUUCGUGCCAGCAGCCGCGGUAAUACGAGGGGGGCGAGCGUUGUUCGGAAUUAUUGGGCGUAAAGGGUGCGUAGGCGGUUCGGUAAGUUUGAUGUGAAAUCUUCGGGCUCAACUCGAAGUCUGCAUCGAAAACUGCCGGGCUUGAGUGUGGGAGAGGUGAGUGGAAUUUCCGGUGUAGCGGUGAAAUGCGUAGAUAUCGGAAGGAACACCUGUGGCGAAAGCGGCUCACUGGACCACAACUGACGCUGAUGCACGAAAGCUAGGGGAGCAAACAGGAUUAGAUACCCUGGUAGUCCUAGCCCUAAACGAUGAUCGCUUGGUGUGGCGGGUACCCAAUCCCGUCGUGCCGUAGCUAACGCGUUAAGCGAUCCGCCUGGGGAGUACGGUCGCAAGGCUGAAACUCAAAGGAAUU